UUUACCAACUCACUCUAAUCAUUUUACAUCAAUCCAACUAGACAAGAUUCCAACUAGACAAGCAUAACUGCAUAUAUAAUGUUGCAAGGGACUUGUAACUCGGUUAAGACCAUAUUCCAGGUCCCAGAGUACGAUUCCUCCUCUCCCAAUGUUGUGAUUUGCAAUGCUCUAGUUUUAUUUUACUUUUAAAAUCUCUGGAUUUGAGACUAUAAGCAACUUUAAACCCAAAAUUAUAUGCAAGAAAGUAAUAGUUUAUAGUCACAAAAUUUUGCAGACCCUCCAGUCGUCUGAUUUAGCUGCUACUAGUUACAGGGUGUAAAAACAAUGCUGCCUGAAAUAAACCAAAACCAUUAUAUUGAAGCUGACUUUGCGCGGGUGCAAAAAUCAUCGAAAAGGAAGAGUGCAGAAACAGGGCUAAUGCAUUUUCUCUUUAGAGGAAAUGAGAUGGAAAGGGAGAGAAGCCUGCAUGCAUUAGUAGGACCGGUGGUUGGCUGCUGCAUUACAGAUUUCAGCAUAAUGGUCUUUUCCUUUGCUUUCGGGGAGAAUGAAGAUCAUCAAAAGCGUGUGUGUCGAACAAUAUUUCUCAGAAAAGUGUUGUCGAACGACUAGAAUAUUAUUCACUGGACCUGCAGAGUACAGUGCAAAUUUUAUGUAAAUACUAAACAAAUUAGCAAAAGUUUGGCAGAUUGA